AGGGAUAGGAGAAUUGGAGGGCAAGUUUGGUGCCAGCAGCCGCGGUAAUACCGACUCCAAGAGUGUGUAUGAGAGAUGCUGCAGUUAAAAAGUCCGUAGUCAUAGAAGGGCAAAGAGAGAUGCGAGGUCUCACAGUGCGAUGAUGGAGGAGCCGAUGGGGAACAUAGUAUACCAGGGCGAGAGAUGAAAUGCCAAGACCCCUGGUGGACUGAGCGAGGCGAAGGCGAUGUUCUUGUAGGCAUUCGGUGAUCAAGGACGAAGGCUGGAGUAUCGAAAGUGAUUAGAUACCGCAGUAGUUCCAGCAGUAAAAGAUGCCGACAUGCUCAUUGGACACAGUGGGCAGGGAGAAAUCUUAGAGUUCGGGCUCUGGGGAUAGUAUGCUCGCAAGGGUGAAAAUUAAAGAAAUUGACGGAGCUACACCACAAGGAGUGGAUUGUGCGGCUUAAUUUGACUCAACGCGAGGAAACUUACCAGGGCCAAGUAUUGUGUAGAAACGAGCAAUACAGGAGUGGUGCAUGGUCGUUGGAAAUUGAUGGGAUGACUUUGACCUUAAAUGGUUGAAUGAGUGAGAUCUUUUGGACAUGUUCCGCACGGAACAGGAAGGAAAAGGCUAUAACAGAUCCGAGAUGCCCUCAGAUGCCCUGGGCUGCACGCGCAAUACAAUAGCAGGUAGAGAGAGAGACAGGAAGGUGCUCAGAUGGACUAUGUGCUGUAAGGCACAUACGAAAGAGGAAU
rnacentral:rRNA from 1 species